GACGAACGCUGGCGGCGUGCUUAACACAUGCAAGUCGAACGGAAAGGCCCUGCUUUUGUGGGGUGCUCGAGUGGCGAACGGGUGAGUAACACGUGAGUAACCUGCCCUUGACUUUGGGAUAACUUCAGGAAACUGGGGCUAAUAUCGGAUAGGAGCUCCUGCUGCAUGGUGGGGGUUGGAAAGUUUCGGCGGUUGGGGAUGGACUCGCGGCUUAUCAGCUUGUUGGUGGGGUAGUGGCUUACCAAGGCUUUGACGGGUAGCCGGCCUGAGAGGGUGACCGGCCACAUUGGUACUGAGAUACGGCCCAGACUCCUACGGGAGGCAGCAGUGGGGAAUAUUGCACAAUGGGCGGAAGCCUGAUGCAGCAACGCCGCGUGCGGGAUGACGGCCUUCGGGUUGUAAACCGCUUUCGCCUGUGACGAAGCGUGAGUGACGGUAAUGGGUAAAGAAGCACCGGCUAACUACGUG
rnacentral:rRNA from 1 species